rnacentral:lncRNA from 1 species
UACUUGAACUCAAAUAUUAAAUUUAAAAUCAUAAUUUUAAAACUUGAAACUUGAACUCAAAUAUUAAAUUUAAAAUUAUAAUUUUAUAUAAUUUUAAAUUUGAAACUUAAAAUUUUAAAAUUAAAAUAUUAUAUUAAAAAUUAAAAUUUGAAUCAGGGGUGGAGCCGAAGGAUGGUGGAAUUUUUUUUGUUUAAGUUGGAGUUAAUUAUUAUUUUACUCUAUUUUUUAAAAGUUUAGUUU